rnacentral:tRNA from 1 species
GGGUCUGUGGUCUAGUGGUAUGACGUCGCCUUGACGUGGCGAAGGUCGCCGGUUCGAUCCCGGCCAGACCCA